GAGGGCUUGCUAGGAAGGAUGCACAUCACCCAGGGUUUACUUCUUGCUGGAAGCCUGCGUGAGAUGCCGUAACCAGCUGGGGCGGCGGGGACCACAGAGGCAACAACGGUGGCCAAGUCUGCCUGUCAGUUCUGCCUUCGGUUCUCCGGCAAGUCGUGGGGGGGAAAAAAAUAAAAAACAGCUGGCCGGCGGGAGCGAGCCACCCAGGAACUCAACCCUGAUUUCUAACAAACGUCAGAUUUAAGAAGAUGGAGACUAGACUCGAGAGAAGUUCCAAAUCCGAGAACAGGGGACCCAUGUUUCCACAGCUUUUUUCAAAUAAAUUUUACUAAUCUUCCUACAA